AUUGAACGCUGGCGGCAUGCUUUACACAUGCAAGUCGAACGGCAGCGCGGGCUUCGGCCUGGCGGCGAGUGGCGAACGGGUGAGUAAUACAUCGGAACGUGCCCAGUUGGGCGGGAUAGCUCGGCGAAAGCAGGAUUAAUACCGCAUACGACCUGAGGGUGAAAGCGGGGGGUCUUCGGACCUUGCGCUCUUGUGGCGGCCGAUGCCCGAUUAGCUAGUUGGUUGGUUAAAGGGCUACCAAGGCGACGAUCUGUGGCUGGUCUGAGUGGGAGACCAGCCACACUGGAACUGAGACACGGACCAUGCUCCUACGGGACGGAGCAGUGUGGAAUGUUGGACAACGGGGGAAAGUCUUACCCAGUGAGGGCGCGCGUGUUAUGAAGGCCCUGGGGUUGUAAAGCACUUUUGCGGGGAAUGAAAAGCAUUGUGCCAAUACCACGCUUGGAUGACGGUAAUCGCAGAAUAAGCACCGGCUAACUACGUG
rnacentral:rRNA from 1 species